rfam:Flavobacterium sp. 316 scaffold_0, whole genome shotgun sequence.
CUCGCAGACCGCCUUAUCGUCGUCUUGGUAACAAGAAGGAGGAAAGUCCGGACACCAAAGAGUAGCAUAAUGGGUAACGCCCAUCCGCUGAAAAGUGAGGACAAGUGCAACAGAAAGUAUGUACAGAUAAUGCUGUAGUGAAACCAGGUAAACUCUAUGCGGUGAAAUGUCAAGUAUAUCAACAAUUUUAGUUUAGGCUAAAUAAGAAUUACUCGUUCGAUGUUGAAGGGUAGACAGCUUGAAUUUUGCAGUAAUGUAAAAUCUAGAUAAAUGAUAAGGGUUAUGCUCUUGCAUAAUACAGAAUCCGGCUUAUAGGUCUGCAUUUUUU